AGCAGCCGCGGUAAUUCCAGCUCCAAUAGCGUAUAUUAAAGUUGUUGCAGUUAAAAGCUCGUAGUUGAAUUUCGGGGUCAGUAAGCUGGUCGUGCCACUGGUAUGCACUGGCUUCGCUGAUUCCUCCUUCUUGUAGAACCGUAAUGCCAUUAAGUUGGUGUUGCGGGGAAACAGGACUGUUACUUUGAAAAAUUAGAGUGUUUAAAGCAGGCUAACGCUUGAAUACAUUGGCAUGGAAUAAUGAAAUAGGACGACGAUCCUAUUUUGUUGGUUUCUAGGAUUGACGUAAUGAUUAAUAGGGAUAGUUGGGGGCAUUAGUAUUCAAUUGUCAGAGGUGAAAUUCUUGGAUUUAUUGAAGACUAACUACUGCGAAAGCAUUUGCCAAGGAUGUUCUCAUUAAUCAAGAACGAAAGUUAGGGGAUCGAAGACGAUCAGAUACCGUCGUAGUCUUAACCAUAAACUAUGCCGACUAGGGAUCGGAUGA
rnacentral:rRNA from 1 species